rnacentral:rRNA from 1 species
UGAGGAAUUUUGCGCAAUGGGGGGAAACCCUGACGCAGCAACGCCGCGUGGAUGAUGAAGGCCUUCGGGUCGUAAAAUCCUGUCAAGUGGGAAGAAACCCCCUCCGCGAACAGCGGCAGGGGGGUGGACUGUACCACUGGAGGAAGCCCCGGCUAACUCCGUGCCAGCAGCCGCGGUAAUACGGAGGGGGCGAGCGUUGUUCGGAAUCAUUGGGCGUAAAGGGCGCGUAGGCGGUCUUGUAAGUCGGUUGUGAAAUCCCUUGGCUUAACCAAGGAACUGCAACCGAAACUACAGGGCUGGAGUCCGGGAGAGGGCAGUGGAAUUCCCAGUGUAGCGGUGAAAUGCGUAGAUAUUGGGAGGAACACCAGUGGCGAAGGCGGCUACCUGGACCGGUACUGACGCUGAGGCGCGAAAGCUAGGGGAGCAAACAGGAUUAGAUACCCUGGUAGUCCUAGCUGUAAACGAUGAGCACUUGGUGCAGCGGGUAUUGACCCCUGCUGUGCCGUAGCUAACGCGUUAA